CAUAGUUUAAUGAAAAUAUUAAAUGAUUUCUGCCCCAUGAUUUUAAUGGCCGCAGUACCUUGACUGUGCUAAGGUAGCAUAAUAAUUUGGCUUUUAAUUGAGGUCGAGAAUGAAAGGGGAACGAAGGAGUUGUCUCUUUAAAGGUAUUUAAAUUUACUUAUUAGGUGAAAAUUCCUAUAAUAAAUAUUAGACGAGAAGACCCUUAGAAUUUUAUAAAUUUUUGUUGGGGCGACAGAGUUACAUAUAACUUACUUAAAGGUAAAACAAGCCGAGAGUGAUAAAAUUACCUGAGGGAUAACAGCAUAAUUCUAAGAUUAUGACCUCGAUGUUGGAUUAGGGAAUAAUAGUUAGUAAUUAUUAUUGUUCUGUUCGAACCCUACGUGAUCU
rnacentral:rRNA from 1 species